AAUUCGAUGCAACGCGAAGAACCUUACCUGGUCUUGACAUCCACGGAAGUUUUCAGAGAUGAGAAUGUGCCUUCGGGAACCGUGAGACAGGUGCUGCAUGGCUGUCGUCAGCUCGUGUUGUGAAAUGUUGGGUUAAGUCCCGCAACGAGCGCAACCCUUAUCCUUUGUUGCCAGCGGUCCGGCCGGGAACUCAAAGGAGACUGCCAGUGAUAAACUGGAGGAAGGUGGGGAUGACGUCAAGUCAUCAUGGCCCUUACGACCAGGGCUACACACGUGCUACAAUGGCGCAUACAAAGAGAAGCGAUCUCGCGAGAGCAAGCGGACCUCAUAAAGUGCGUCGUAGUCCGGAUUGGAGUCUGCAACUCGACUCCAUGAAGUCGGAAUCGCUAGUAAUCGUGGAUCAGAAUGCCACGGUGAAUACGUUCCCGGGCCUUGUACACACCGCCCGUCACACCAUGGGAGUGGGUUGCAAAAGAAGUAGGUAGCUUAAC
rnacentral:rRNA from 1 species